CCCUUCGAGUAACCACAGGAUUGCUAUACAAAUCAAAUGAGAUCGUGUGAGUUAAUUUAUGUUGGAAAACAUGAGGCACUUCAUUCAUUCAUUCCACAUUCAUCGGGCAUCGUCUAUGUAGGUCUCUGUGCCAGGGACAGAGAUGUGAGAAAAAGGUUGCGAGAGGUUCUGGGAAAAGUUGCCUUGCUCUUAAGAGACACAAGAUGAAAUGGUUUCUCUUCAUAUGGAUAUAGGGCUCAGAUGCUAGUCCAAGAUAUGGAGCUGGCAUGCAACUCAAUCACACGAGCUGCUAAGGUCCCUUCAGAGUUUAAGCCCAUUUGAAUGUAUUUUCUUUUACAGGUAGCCAACAGCAUCCAGAGACAGGUGUGAACAGCAUUUGAGACUUGAAGAAUCAGUCUCCCAAAGGAGCAUCAGAGCAGAUUUUGAUGCUGGCACCAGCCUUUGACUUCUGCUUGGCUGGCCCCAUCUCUUAGAUCCCUGCUUGACUGACAGCCCAAUUCUGUCGAGCCCUUCUCUAUAACGGUCAUUACAAACAACCCUGAAGUGGCUGGAAUAUAGUCAGCAAGGGGCCCACAUGAACAGCUCAUCUGGAAUCUUUGCAAAUAUUCAAGUCCUCAAACAUACCUUACCCUAUGCCUGCACCUUUUGAAUGUUCUCAUUAAACCAAGGGAAGUCUUGGAACCUCCUUAUUAGUCUGCCUUGCCAAGCUGAAGAACUGUGCCGACUUCUCUGGUGGCUACGGCUGCGGCUACGGCUGCUGGAGCGGGACCUGUGGCGAUGGCGUUUCUCCCGAGAUUUGGAUCGAGUUCUCCUCUUGCGUUCACGUGACAUGGAGCGAGAUCGAUGUCUGCGAUGCUCUCUGGACCUGGAUCUACCAGACAAGAUUUGAUUUUGUUUCUACCUUUGUAAUUACUAUAUUUCUCAUUUAUUAAAGCCUUUUCUUU
rnacentral:lncRNA from 1 species